UUUGCCAAGGUUGAGGACGCGCGCCCGUGACACAGCCUCAGGUGGUCCUAACAACAUGUGCCUUCCCAAGGUGGUAGGAGCACGGUUUGGUUUUAUACAUUCUAGGGAGACAUGAGACAUCAAUCAACAUAUGCAAGAUGAACAUUGGUUCGGUCUGGAAAGACGGGAUAACACGAAGCAAAGGCUGUAUAUGUCAGAGGAUAUCAUAUCUGAUCAAAAGAAAAAAAAGAUCAAGACAAGAUGAAAAGAACCAAAAUAGGAAGACAUCCUAAGGCAUACAGCAGCUGCAGUCUGCCUGCCACUGAAUUUUAUCCAGGGUCUGAGCCUGCUGAAGUCAGUUGGUGAAGCAAGAGAAGACAGGCAGAAUAAGAUGGCAGAGAAAGACUCUCCAGCGACCAUCCCUCAAUAGAAACAUCAAUUUGAACAACUAUCCACACAUGAAACAAAUCUUCGUAAGACUCAGGAAACCAGGUGCAGGACAAAGGACAGACAGAACUCAGUCAACCCUCUGCUCACCUGAGAAAAAGUGCAUAUCUAAUUGCUUCUUUGGCCCUAUUGUUUAUGCAAGAAUGCUGAUUCAUUUGUCUAUUUUGGCUUUUGUUGCCAUUGCUUUUG
rnacentral:lncRNA from 1 species